rnacentral:misc_RNA from 1 species
GAUGAAGAACGUAGCGAAAUGCGAUAAGUAAUGUGAAUUGCAGAAUUCAGUGAAUCAUCGAAUCUUUGAACGCACAUUGCGCCCGCCAGUAUUCUGGCGGGCAUGCCUGUUCGAGCGUCAUUUCAACCAUCAAGCCCCCGGCUUGUGUUGGGGACCUGCGGCUGCCGCAGGCCCUGAAAAGCAGUGGCGGGCUCGCUGUCACACCGAGCGUAGUAGCAUACAUCUCGCUCUGGGCGUGCUGCGGGUUCCGGCCGUUAAACCACCUUCAUAACCCAAGGUUGACCUCGGAUCAGGUAGGAAGACCCGCUGAACUUUAGCAUAUCAAUAAGCGGAGGA